rnacentral:tRNA from 1 species
UAUGGCUUAGAGGUAGAGCGCUUGCCUAGCAUGCAUGAAGCCCUAGGUUCAAUUCCUCAGUA